ACUGCUCAGUAACACGUAGUCAACAUGCCCAGGGGACGUGGAUAACCUCGGGAAACUGAGGAUAAACCGCGAUAGGUCAUCACUUCUGGAAUGGGUAAUGACUUAAACCUAUAUGGCCCCUGGAUUGGACUGCGGCCGAUCAGGCUGUUGGUGAGGUAAUGGCCCACCAAACCUGUAACUGGUACGGGCUCUGAGAGGAGGAGCCCGGAGAUGGGCACUGAGACAAGGGCCCAGGCCCUAUGGGGCGCAGCAGGCGCGAAACCUCUGCAAUAGGCGAAAGCUUGACAGGGUUACUCUGAGUGAUUUCCGUUAAGGAGAUCUUUUGGCACCUCUAAAAAUGGUGCAGAAUAAGGGGUGGGCAAGUCUGGUGUCAGCCGCCGCGGUAAUACCAGCACCCCGAGUGGUCGGGACGUUUAUUGGGCCUAAAGCAUCCGUAGCCGGUUCUACAAGUCUUCCGUUAAAUCCACCUGCUUAACAGAUGGGCUGCGGAAGAUACUAUAGAGCUAGGAGGCCAGUGGCGAAGGCGGCUUGCCAGAACGCGCUCGACGGUGAGGGAUGAAAGCUGGGGGAGCAAACCGGAUUAGAUACCCGGGUAGUCCCAGCUGUAAACGAUGCAGACUCGGUGAUGAGUUGGCUUAUUGCUAACUCAGUGCCGCAGGGAAGCCGUUAAGUUUGCCGCCUGGGGAGUACGGUCGCAAGACUGAAACUUAAAGGAAUUGGGAGAGGCAAGCGGUACUCGAUGGGUAGGGGUAAAAUCCUCUGAUCCAUUGAGGACCACGGCGGGGGAGCAC
rnacentral:rRNA from 1 species